UACGUAGGGGGCAAGCGUUGUCCGGAAUCAUUGGGCGUAAAGAGCGCGUAGGCGGUCCGGUAAGUCCGCUCUGAAAGUCCGGGGCUCAACCCCGGGAGGCGGGCGGAUACUGUCGGGCUAGAGUCCGGAAGAGGCGAGUGGAAUUCCUGGUGUAGCGGUGAAAUGCGCAGAUAUCAGGAGGAACACCGGUGGCGAAGGCGGGUCUCUGGGCCGAUAUUGACGCUGAGGAGCGAAAGCGUGGGGAGCGAACAGG
rnacentral:rRNA from 1 species